UAAUUCUUCAAUAUACCAUGUACCUGCUACAAAUCAUCCGAAUAUACAAGUCAAAGUACAAGCCAAAAGUAAGAGCUUAAACAACUAGUACUAUAAUACAGUAUCGGCCAAAUACAAGUUCAAAAUUCUUAAUACAACUAGUACUAUUCUUGUCUCUCUCAUCCCCGCACCCUGUUAAGGAAAACAAAUAAAGGGAUGAGUUAAAAACCCAGUGAGAUUCCAAGAAAAGAUGCAGUCAAAAUGGCAAAAUAUCUUUCACAUAUUUCAAAAUCUUAGAACGAAAAUAAUAAACAGUUACAAAUAAUGUCAUGGACCGUUCACACAUUCAAAUAAGCAUUUUAACACCAGCAAGAAAAGGAUACGGUACUGAUACGGUGGCUUCCUCCAGGUUCUAGGCAGAGCACCCAGGAUUCAUAUGUUGAUGCAGCUGAUAUGGUGCUCCUACCAGAUUUCAAGCGUAGCACUUAAUUCCGUACAGUGUUUCACUUGCAGCCAGUUCCGCAGCAACAUUUUCCAAGUCCGUUGACACUCAGUCAAUGUUUGAGACAUAGUAACAAGUCCAGUAGAGCACCACUUAUCUCCAAUCUUCAUCCACCAAUCAAUCCCCUACCGGGCUCGAACUCCAAUAUAAAUAGUGAUGGUAAUACUCAAGCAUACCAAUUAGUCAAGAAGAUAACAUUCCACUCGAUAAAACAGUAGACCCAGGGUUCGUUAUCUAAUCGACCAGACCCUUGUUGGCUCGACUCGAUUAACUAGCCGAUAGAGUUUAGGAUCCAGGCCGUUACUUUCAACUCAUGCGCAUGAAUAUCAGUUCACUUGUAAACAAUUCAUUUAUAGGAGCAAAACAAGAAUUUAUUCAAGUUAGGUCGAGUGCUAUAAAGUACACACUUGCCUAUGUAAUAAUGAGCCAACUUAGGCAACAAGUCAUUUGAGCAACAAGUAGUAUGGAACAUGUAGUUGAAACACUCACCAUUUUUAGAAAAGUUAACUUUCCUCGGUGAAAGGAUCCACGGGUUCGCUUUCGAAACUUGUGAUCAAAUACAUAAGGUAAGUGAACUAAAGAAGUUCACCGUUUUAAAACAUUUGGAUAAAGUAGUCGAACCCCCAAGUGCAAGCUUUUAAUCCAAAAGUAUCACCUAUCCUUGCUCAAGCCACAAAGGAAAACUUUUGAUGCUAAAGUCAAAAAUAAAUUUAAACGGGACAAAACAAGGUUUUAAAUGAGGCAAGGAUAUGGUAAGGUGAUAUAAUAACAUUUACUCUUGUCAAAACGUUCAACAAGCGACUCGGGAAGAAAAGUCACUCGUUCUUUAAAACACCCUAAUUUUAAGUGAAAACUCACAUAUAAGUAGUGAUCUAGGGGUUAACAAGGCAUAGUCGUUUAAAAGCCACAAAUUCACCAUCCAAGUACCAAGUUAUAGCUAGAAUUCUUCUUCAUAAGUCCUACCAUCCUAUACUAAACCUUUAAUACCAUCAAAUAAGGAUUUCAUGCUACGCACUAUUCAAAUAAUGACUAAGAGCUAGUAGGGAAACUUGGUUUUGAACAAUCAACAAUCACUAUUCCACUCAAAGGUAUAAAGUUGUGAGAAAACCUCAAUUCCACUCAUAAAACCAAGCUCAAAAUGGUUUAACAACUCCAACUUAAAGUUGGAAAUGGAAGCAAGAACAAGUUUAGAAAACAAAAUUUUCUCCAGUUCUGCGCAACACUGUUUGAAAAUCCGUAUCUCAAGCUCCUUAAGUCCAAAAUUGAUAAGUUGUAUACCGUUGGGAAAUAGACUCAAAGGACUACAAUUUUCCAGAAUACACAUUUGUAAGAUUUUGUCCAUAAAUCAGUCAAAUUCCAGUCUCAAAUUGCUGCUACAUCAAGUAGAAAAACAGAACAAGUGUGAAAAUUCAGUCAAUUUUGGAAAAUCAUAGAUAUUCAUACGAAUUGAGAAAAAUUCUGAAAUUUUCACGGUAGAAUUCUCUCUAAAUCUAGUUUCAAACACAAUAAGUGGAACUCAAUUUGGAUAUUUCUACACCAAGAUAUAACAGAUUUCCCAAGACUGCUCAGAGUUUCCUGUGGGAAAAUUUCCAGCAACACUUCCCCUUAUUUUCUUAACUUUUCCAUCCAAAUUCAACACCUAUAUUCAUAUCAAUCCAACCUCAAUCACAAUCACAAGUUACAAGCUAUAAAGUACACUUGUUUAAGGCCACAAAACCAUCCAAUAUAGCCACGUUUCUAGCUCAAGACCAACCAUAACAAAGCUGAAAUUUUGAAACCCUAAGCUGAAAAUUUCCUCUACAAGCUGAAGUUUUCUAUAAUCAAGCCAAAAUAACAUAUAAAAGCUAGCAAAUUCACAUAGCAAAGCUACUAGAUCAUGGCAAAGUUCAAAGCAUCAUAUCAAAGCUGAAAUUUAACCAUCAAAGCUGAAAUUUCCAAUCACCGCUUAAACCAUGAAAUUUUCCAUGACUACCACCAUAAUUAACCCUUAAAUCCACUCAAAAGCAAGUUAAAUGACAAGAGAUGGUUCUAGACUUUGUUACCUUGAAACCGAAGGAAGACCAAGCAGCCACAAGCUUCUUUCCCCAAAAAAUCUCCAUUAAAGUUCCUCCUCUUACCUCAAGAUCACCUUUUAUGGAUUGAUUUGCAAGGUUAAGGUGAAAACUCAAGGAUCAAGCAAGGUUUUU
rnacentral:lncRNA from 1 species